rfam:Gossypium hirsutum cultivar TM-1 chromosome 9, whole genome shotgun sequence
AUGCCAUGAUGCGAACACUUCAGUAACAACAACUUAAAUUAUUCCCAUGCCUCGUACAAAAUUUCACCUUCCAAUUGUCAAAAGUUUGCAAUAUCACACCUCAGUUG